CUAUUAAAGCCACCAAGAGUGCAUUUUGUCCUGCUCCUCCCUGGCCAGCAGAAGUGGCUGACAGGACCACAUUAGGACUUGGUGGGCCAUAAGCAUUUUUUGUUGUCAUGGACCCCUUUUUCCAUUAAAAAAGUAAAAAGUUACAUUUUACAGUUGUGUUGGGAUAAAGGUAAAUAUAUUCACAUUAUAUAUGAAAACAUUUCUGUUGACUUAGAAGAUCAUUUCUUCCCUCUGAUUUUAAAACAACUCAGAAUACUUUGUGGGCUCCUAGGAGUACCAUGGGCUGGGGCUGAGCCUGGUGUGUCUGGUGGAGAAGCCGCCCUGAUGGCUAGGGCUCCAG
rnacentral:lncRNA from 1 species